rnacentral:rRNA from 1 species
GACGGAGGGUGCUAGCGUUGUUCGGAUUCACUGGGCGUAAAGGGUGCGCAGGCGGCCAAGUGUGUUAGGCGUGAAAGCCCGGGGCUUAACCCCGGAAUUGCACCUAAAACUACAUGGCUAGAGCAUUGGAGAGGGUAGCGGAAUUCACGGUGUAGCAGUGAAAUGCGUAGAUAUCGUGAGGAACACCAGAGGCGAAGGCGGCUACCUGGACAAUUGCUGACGCUCAGGCACGAAAGCGUGGGGAGCAAAAGGG